UACAGAGGGUGCAAACGUUGUUCGGAAUUACUGGGCAUAAAGCGCGCGUAGGCGGCUACGCAAGCGCGGUGUGAAAUCCCACGGCUUACCCGUGGAACUGCGCCGCGAACUGCGUAGCUAGAGCAUGGUAGAGGAGGGCGGAACUCCUGGUGGAGCGGUGAAAUGCGUAGAUAUCAGGAGGAACACCGGUGGCGAAGGCGGCCCUCUGGUCCACUGCUGACGCUGAGGCGCGAAAGCUAGGGUAGCAAACGGG
rnacentral:rRNA from 1 species